AAUGUUUUGGCAAAGUUUAGAGGUAAUUUUUUUUAGAUAUUGUGUCGUGAUUUUGUUCAAAUUGAACGCUGUUUUUCCUGGUACAACGGCGCCAAAUAAAUGGACAAUUUGGAUAUAUAUGGAUGGAAUUAAUCGAACAAAAGGACCAUUUGUGAUGUUUAUGGGACAUAUUGGAGUGCCAACAAAAGAAUCUCGUCAAAGGUGUGCUGGAGUCAGAGCAGAUCCCUACCAGCUGCAACUCGUCCCAUAAUCAAGACCUUUACAAAUACUCAGUCCUGACACUUCCCCUCUGCCAGAUCGUAAUCUCUGCUCAUUUACCGCUCUGUCUAUGGCUCCUGUAUCCCGUUCCACAUCACCCAACUAUCUGGCUCGGGAUUAUUCACCCCCACUACCUUGGCUUCCCCUCAGGACCUGUUUACCCUGUUCUACCCUAGCUACCCUAACUCCAACCUCAGUCUCCACAUCUGUUUUGUCUGCAACUCAACCUAGCUUUCAACCUGGAUCUCCACUCCAUAUCUCUCUGUGUAACAAUAAAUAUUUUGGUUCAUUCAUCCCUGUUUCUUCAUCUGAGUCUGCUCUUGGGUUCCCCUGUUGCCCCACCUAAAAGAAGCUCAGUUCUUCACAAUUCGUGACAUUUAAUCCUAGUAAAAAUUCCCUGUCUUAGGUCAGUUAGGAUCACCACUCAGAAUAAUAGUAGAGAAUGAUUUAUUUAAGCUUUUAUUUCUUUCAUCAUAUUCCCAGUGGGUCAGAAUUUUACAUACACUCAAUAAGUAUUUGGUAGCAUUGCCUUUAAAUUGUUUAACUUGGGUCAAAUGUUUCAGGUAGCCUUCCACAAGCUUCCCACAAUAUUUUGGGUGAAUUUUGGCCCAUUCCUCCUGACAGGGCUGGUGUAACUGAGUCAGAUUUGUAGGCCUCCUUGCUCGCACACUCUUUUUCAGGUCUGCCUACAAAUUUUCUAUAGAAUUGACGUUAGGGCUUUGUGAUGGCCACUCCAAUACCUUGACUUUGUCCUUAAGCCAUUUUGCCACAACUUUGGAAGUAUGCUUGGGGUGAUUGUCCAUUUGGAAGACCCAUUGCGACCAAGCUUUAACUUCCUGACUGUCUUGAGGUUGCUUCAAUAUAUCUGCAUAAUUUUCUUUCCUCAUGAUACCAUCUAUUUUGUGAAGUGCAUCAGUCCCUCCAACAGCAAAGCACCCCCACAACACGAUGCUGCCACCCCCGUGCUUCACAGUUGGGAUGGUGUUCUUUGGCUUGCAAGCCUUCCCAUUUUUCCUCCAAACAUAACGAUGGUGAUUAUGGCCAAACAGUUCUAUUUUUAUUUCAUCAGACCAGCGGACAUUUUUCCAAAAAGUACGAUCUUUGUCCCCAUGUGCAGUUGCAAACCAUAGUCUGGCUUUUUUUAUGGCGGUUUUGGAGCAGUGGCUUCUUCCUUGCUGAGUGGCCUUUCAGGUUAUGUCGAUAUAGGACUUGUUUUACUGUGGCUAUAGAUACUUUUGUACCUGUUUCCUCCAGCAUCUUCACAAGGUCCUUUGCUGUUGUUCUGGAAUUAAUUUGCACUUUUUGCACCAAAAUACGUUCAUCUCUAGGAGACAGAAUGCGUCUCCUUCCUGAGCGGCAUGACGGCUGCGUGGUUCCAUGGUGUUUACACUUGCGUACUAUUGUUUGUACAGAUGAACGUGGUACCUUCAGGCAUUUGGAAAUUGCUCCCAAGGAUGAACCAGCCUUGUGGAGGUCUACAAUUUUUUUUCUGAGGUCUUGGCUGAUUAAUUUAGAUUUUUCCAUGUCAAGCAAAGAGGCACUGAUUGUGAAGGUUGGACUUGAAAUACAUCCACAGGUACAUAUCCAAUUGACUCAAUUGUUGUCAAUUAGCCAAUCAGAAGCUUCUAAAGCCAUGAUAUAAUUUUCUGGAAUUUUCCAAGCUGUUUAAAGGCACAGUCAACUUAGUGUAUGUAAACCUCUGACCCACUGGAAUUGUGAUACAUUGAAUUAUAAGUGAAACAGUCUGUCUGUAAACAAUUGUUGGAAAAAUUACUUGUGUCAUGCAUGAAGUAGAUUUCCUAACUGACUUGCCAAAACUAUAGUUUGUUAACAAGAAAUUUGUGGAGUGGUUGAAAAAUAAGUUUUAAUGACUCCGACCUAAGUGUACUCCGAUUUCAACUGUAAAUAUAAAUAUCAGUACAAAGUAUUUUUCAUAAAUACUCUUUUAAAAGAAGUCUAGAAUCAGUCUGUAAUUAAGUCACACAGAACGGGUUCACUUAUUACAUCCCAACAGGGCUACACAACAUCUGUUGUGUUCACUAAAGCAAUACUUAUGAAUUGGUUUUGAACCUAAACCAAUGACUCAGCGAACCAUUAUUUUCUUAUUGCGAUGCAAAAAUAUAUCUAAAUUGUAUCUAACCUAAUAGUCUUUAGCAAUUAUAUCACAGAGCAACAUUACCACAGGGCUAUUCCACUAUUAUAUAAAUGUGGCAUUUUUGAUGAUUAUACAAAUAACAGACGGAACACACACGGAUCCCCUAUCAAAUCAACCCCCCCAUGCUCUAACAGAGCCCCACCCCAAAACCAGACAUGAUGUACAAUGAGGGUUCCAUUUUUUUACCCCGUUUUCAUGGUAUCCAAUUGGUAGUUACAUACUUGUCUCAUCACCUGCAACUCCUGUACGGACUCAGGAGAGGCAAAAGUCAAUUGCCAUGCAUCCACAACCCAAACCAAGCCGCACUGCUUCUUGGCACAAUGCCCACUUAACCCGGAAGCCACCAAUGUGUCAGAGGAAACACCAUGCACCUGGUGACCGUGUCAGCAUGCACUGCACCCGGCACGCCGUAGGAGUCACUGGUGUGCGAAUGGACAAGGAUAUCCCUGCAGGCCAAACCUUCCCCUAACCUGGCCGACGCUGGGCCAAAUGUGCUCUGCCCCAUGGGUCUCCCAGUCGCAGACAGCUGCGACAGAGCCUGGACUCGAACCCAGAAUAUCUAAUGGCACGGCUAGCACUGUGAUGCAGUGCCUUAGACCACUGUGCCACUCAGGAAGCCUGUUAUGAGGGCUCUAUUUUAACAAACCUAUCAACAAACCUGUCAAUCUAAGCGCUGAGCAGGUGUGACAGAAAUAUGUUUGCUCUUUUCAAAAGCACAGUUAUCGGCACAGUUGCUGGCAGUUGACGAAAGAGUUGGGUUUUGAUGAAUUAACAAGUUAUGGGUGUGUUGAAGCUUGGCCCCUCACUGGCCAAUCAGGACAUGAUCCAUGGCUAAAUAUGCUGUUGUUUCAAGUUGUGUAUUUACGGUCUUUUAUGUUUUGCUUUGGAAUCAACUCCGAUUCCAAUGUUAGUCCAUUAUAAUUUGUUAAAUAGCUUACAGAAGAAAAAAAAAAAAUUAGGCUUAUCCCAUCUUUGCUAAAUAUUUAACCUGUUUGCAGUCCACAUUGUUCUAAUGUAAUACCCUUGUUAGAACCAAGUAUUGAGUUUAUUCUUGUUAGAACCAAGUAUUGAGUUUAUUUGUUAUAAUUAAAUGCCAUUAUAUUUUAAAGGUGAUUGAAUUGCUCCUGAAUUGUAAUGUUGUUAAAGCAUUUCUUUUGAAGAAAUAUUUCGUUAAUGUAUAAGUGAAUAGGUUGGUUUACAUUUAAGUUUAAGCUUUGACCAAUAAGGUCGCUUGUUAAGCUGUGGCCAAUGGGAGUUGACCUGGUUAACGGGAGGCCUGGGAAAAAAGGAGAGGGAGAGAGAAGUUGAGAAAAGGAUGGACAUUACAUUAUGAACGUUGGUGAAGAAAAAUUAUAAAAGAAGACGAUAAAAAUAGAACAAAACCCAUACCUACCUAGUUUUGAAGGGAAAUAUCGAUUUUAUUUUAUAAGAGUUGUUAUAAUUUUGUUAAUUAAGACUUAGUAAAUACUGAAGCUACUGUCUCAUUGUGGAGGUAUUGGACAGCCUUGAGGUUAGCCUAGCAUCAUGUGAAACCGAGAGAGAAUUGCUUGGGAAAGAUUAAGCAAGCUUGAAAUAAUUUGGACAUGGGGUGUGCACCACUCAUUGGGGUUUAUUUUUUAUUUUAUUUUGAUGUGGUGCUUUGAAAAUGUAAAAAUACACAUUUUGCCCUUA